CUUGGUCAUUUAGAGGAAGUAAAAGUCGUAACAAGGUCUCCGUUGGCGAACCAGCGGAGGGAUCAUUACAGAGUUGCAAAACUCCCUAAACCAUUGUGAACGUUACCUAAACCGUUGCUUCGGCGGGCGGCCCCGGGGUCAUCCCCGGGCGUCCCUGGGCCCCAUCGCGGGCGCCCGCCGGAGGUCACCAAACUCUUGAUAAUUUAUGGUCUCUCUGAGUCUUCUGUACUGAAUAAGUCAAAACUUUCAACAACGGAUCUCUUGGUUCUGGCAUCGAUGAAGAACGCAGCGAAAUGCGAUAAGUAAUGUGAAUUGCAGAAUUCAGUGAAUCAUCGAAUCUUUGAACGCACAUUGCGCCCGCCAGUAUUCUGGCGGGCAUGCCUGUUCGAGCGUCAUUUCAACCAUCAAGCCCCCGGCUUGUGUUGGGGACCUGCGGCUGCCGCAGGCCCUGAAAAGCAGUGGCGGGCUCGCUGUCACACCGAGCGUAGUAGCAUACAUCUCGCUCUGGGCGUGCUGCGGGUUCCGGCCGUUAAACCACCUUCAUAACCCAAGGUUGACCUCGGAUCAGGUAGGAAGACCCGCUGAACUUAAGCAUAUCAAUAAGCGGAGGA
rnacentral:rRNA from 1 species